rnacentral:rRNA from 1 species
AGUGAACGCUGGCGGCAGGCCUAACACAUGCAAGUCGAACGAGUGGCGGACGGGUGAGUAAUGUCUGGGAAAGUGCCUGAUGGAGGGGGAAAAGUAAUGGAAACGGUAGCUAAUACCGAAAACCAGAAGAUGUGCCCAGAGGGGUUUAGCUUGUUUGUGGGGUAACGGCUCACCAAGGAGACGAUCCCUAGCUGGUCUGAGAGGAUGACCAGCCCCACUGGAACUGAGACACGGUCCAGACUCCUGCGGGAGGCAGCAGUGGUGAAUAUUGCACAAUGUGCGCAAGCCUGAUGCAGCCAUGCCGCGUGUAUGAAGAAGGCCUUCGGGUUGUACAGUACUUUCAGCGGGGAGGCGUUACCCGCAGAAGAAGCACCGGCUAACUCCGUGCCAGCAGCCGCGGUAAUUC